AGUGCAUUACCAGCAAGCAUCCCAGGCAGGGCACUCAUUUUGCAAGCUCGCAGAAAGUGUGGUCAUGCCAACUCUGAAUUCUCUGACAUUGGAAUAGAUCGAAAGCAUCCUACAAUCGCCGCCCGCCAGGCGCCCACGUGACCUCGUUGUCUUUGCGGCAUGUGCAAACUUGUUCACAGCUGUGGCUGUUGUCAUCACUUCAGCGGGAUUAUGUGCACUGUUGGCACUUCAUGUGCCGGGUUUAAUUGCCAUGUAAAAUGCCUUCAGAAAGAUUAUACUAUGAUUCAGCAUUGAAAGGAAAACUUACGGUGUAUUCAGAAAGAGCAGACACCUUCAUAGAACUCCCUCAUCCCACACAAGACGCAAGUCAGAAAAAACAAAUCUCUACUCAAUUGUCCUGCUGUCUGUGACCUGGGAAAAGAGACUGUCUGAGGGAUGAGUUGGGUCUCUUGUAACUGCAACAAAGUGAAUGUCUCCGGAUGUUCUAAAAGACCCUUCUCAGAGGCCCCAGGAACCUUCCUGCAAACCAAGACUUCCCUCCAGGCACCUUGUUUACCCCGAUGUGACCAAUUCUAUCUAUGCAGAAGCUGCCUAUCCAGUUUUUAAUAUAAGUUGGGCAGAUGUCAGCUCAAGAAGAAGGAAUGAGGGGAGGCACUCAAAGGCGACUCUCACCAAAAAGGAUUUCUUCGUAUUCUGACUUCCAGAGUACAGUCGCUAUCUAUAAAAUGUAAGUCAGUAUCUUUUAUCACGCUUCAUCCUAGGAGGUGCGUGCACUAUGGUUCUCAGUUUUGCAGAUGAGGACAUUGUGGCUUGGAGAGCUUAGGGCAUUUAAACAGCAAAAAUGGCAGAGUCCCUGAAAGAUGUGCCCGGGUAUUUAGACCACAUCUUAAGGGAUUUCUCAAAGAUGCCACUGCCUUCCUGAAGGAAACCUAGGCAAACCCUGCUGGAGGCAUUGCUCGUAAAUCACUGUCAAUUUUCUUUAUUCCCCUCUCCUGCCCAUCUCUGCCACAAUGCAGUGACAAAAGACCGUGUCUUGGUACACUGCAUGUCACUCCCUGAGAUUUGCUGACACCUGCAGACAAAUGAGAGGAUUGCACUGAGUUUGCAUUAAAAGGUAUUAGAGGCCAAGCGCCGUGGCUCACGCCUGUAAUCCCAGCACUUUGGGAGGCCAAGGUGAGUGGAUCACUUGAGCUCAGGAGUUUGAGACCAGCCUGGCCAACAUGGUGAAACCCCGUCUCUACUAACAAUACAAAAAUUAGCCAGGCGUGGUGGCGCGCGCCUGUAGUCCCAGCUACUUAGGAGGCUGAGGCAGGAGAAUUGCUUGAACCUGGGAGGUGGAGGUUGCAGUGAACCAAGAUUGCACCACUGCACUCCAGCUUGGGCAACAACACAGCUGAGACUCUGUCUGAAAAAAAAAAAAAGUAUCAGAGCUGCUUGCAGGAAACCCCAGACCCAGGAAAGGCCGUAUCAUCUCUGGAGAAGAUGAUGCAGACCAGGACAGAGAGCACUAGGAGUAGGUCUGCAGAGAUCCGAGCAGCCCCUCUGGUCCAGGCCAUGCGGUCAGGUGCACGGACUCCCGUUGCACCUUAUUGCCCUGAGGCGUGGUCUGAUGAGAGGCCUCAGGUGUUCUUUAUUCUGGGCAACGUGUAAUCAGUGAUUAUUUCUAACAAUGCAAAUAGUAAAACUACCUUAGCCACUCACUGGGUAACCCUGAGCAACUCCUUUAGUUAGGAGUCAGCCUAACUAAAUUCUUAUUGAUAUAAUGUAUAUUUAUAUUAAUUUUUUAAAAACCAUAAACCCAUACACAAAACCAAAAUCUCUGAUAACAAUUGGGCCUGAAGUCGACUAUGAGGUCUGGGCUUUUGAGAGAAUGAAGUACCAACUCUUUCCGGUAGGUGGAGCCAAAAGAUCACACCUGAAGCGCAUUUCAGUUCAGCCCUCCCAGGCGGCAGGGCGGGGUACCAGCAUUUUCUAGCUCUUAAUAACCUUUACAUUGUCGGGGGAUCAGUGAAGAAGGUUAUAAAGAGCUUGUAUUCAUCCACCCCAUUCAUAUGUCCCCCACAUUAGCAGUCCUUUUAUUCAUAACGUACUCUCCCACCACGACCACCACAUUAUGAAUAAAUGAGACCUACCACCUGCAAUGCCUGGCCUUUCUCCCUGUAGCCAUCACCUCUCCAAUCUUUCCCCAAUCUCAGGCCUAAAAUCGUCAAAUCAGGGUAUCCAAAUGCCAAAAUGUUCCCCCUCACAGAUGCUACUUGUCUCUCAACCUUGCUUAUGAAAAAGGAAAGAAACUAAUGUCCGUAGAGAAUAGACUAUAUUUCAGGCAUUUCCACAUGUCACUUGAUCCCAAUAAUAAUGGCAAUCAUCGUAAUAGCUGCUGUUUUGGGACAUUUACUAUAAGCCAAGUGCCAUGCUAAGUACUUUUAUAUAUUAUCUCAUUUAAUUCUCUUAGGAUGACUGUAAAAUGGCAUUAUCAUACCCACUUCACAGUUCUGGAAACUGAAAUUCAGAGAGCUUGGUAAGCACAGGAUAGCGCAUGUUGGAAGGCACAUCAGGAUUAAUUUACAUUUCAUGAGCAUCUCGCCCCUACUUCUGUUGUUGUAUAGUCUCUCACUUACACCAGGGCUCUUUCUCUGGGAACACAGGGGCAAGAGGGGGAGGCCAGUUGUUGGGGAAGAGGAGAAAGGGAAGAGGACUGGCGCUCCUUCCACUAUGAAGGGGAGAUAUGCUCAGGGUACCCUGUUCUAGACCCUAUCUAGAUGAGACCCUUGACCUGCAUCACCUUAUCUCCCUCCUCCUUACCAAAAUAACCUAAAACUUUUCCCAUAGAAACAAUAGUUUUGGUUUUUUGUUUUAUUUUGUUUUGUUUUGUUUUUGUUGUUUUUUUGCUAUAGCCCUAAUAUCAUUAUUCAACUACUUAAUAGGUUAAAUAGGAUUUUUCAAAUACACUGGGAAUUGAUCGAUCUUCACUAAUAAACUAUUUUUACAGGAAUGCCAUUGAGGCUCCAAGUAAACGUCUUGCAAUAUUUUAGAUUAUUAAAUUGCAUGUACUUUGAAUAUUCGCAUCCCAGAGUCAACAGAUUUUGCAAUUAUUUUCUGUUAGAACGUAAAUGGAUGGUUAUGUGAAUGGAUGGGUGGAUGGAUGGAUAGACAGGUGGAUGAAUGGAUAGAUGGGUGGGUGGAUGGAUGGAUGCAAGGAUGGAUGGAUGGAGAGAUGGGUGGAUGGAUGGAUGGAUGGAUGGAUGGACAGGUGAAUGGAUGGAUGAUGGAUAGAUGGGUGGAUGGAUGAAUGGAUGGCUGAGAAUCUGGGCAAUAAAUAGAGUGAGUUAAGAUGUGGUGCUUAUGAGACCAAGGAUUUGGUCCCAUGUAGACCAAUCAAUUUCAUUCGUUCCUGGAGCAAUUUACAUGUAUUCCUAUUCUACUGAGCCAUCUCAGAAAUGUAUACUAUCAGUUACAAAGGGAAUUAUGUGACAGUAUACAGAUAGAGUAAAACAACUCAUCUUUACUACUAUAAAAGUAGCUGAAAAUUUGUACCUUAUUAUGAUGGCUCAGCAGCAUCUCUUUACAUUCUAGUUUUCAGAACUUCCAUAGCAUCCAAUUCACUCCUCUAUUAGUUCAUCUACAGCACAAAAUGAAUUGUAAACAUCUACUUAUCCACUGUACACCAACUAGAAUGGCUAUUAUUUUUUUAAAUGGGAAACAAGUGUUGGUGAGGAAGUGGAAAAAUUGGAACCUUUGAACAUGGCUGGUAGAAAUCUAAAAUGGUGUUACUGCUGUGGAAAAUAGUUUGGUUCCUCAAAAAGUUAAACAUAGAAUUGCCAUAUGACCUAGCAAUUCCAAUCCUUGAUACAUAUCCAAAAGAACUAGAAGCAGGGUCUAAACAGAUACCUGUAUAACAAUAUUCACAGCAGC
rnacentral:lncRNA from 10 species